rnacentral:lncRNA from 1 species
CUCUGAUGAGUUACUAUGUAAUUGCUUGGUGGUUAAUAUGUACUUGCUAGGUGGUUGAUUAGCUGUUCUGAACAGUUGCUAUGUAUUUGCUGGGUGGUGGAUAUGCUGUUGCUAGUGGUUGCUAUGCAGUUGUUAGGUGGUUGAUAUGGUGAUGUGAUGUGUUCUGAACUAUAGAAGUUAUUUCUAUUUUUAUGUAAUUGAUUCUAAUGUAAUCUAACAGUUUUUCUGUGGAUUUUAUUCAAAGACUCUGUCAGAAUUGUUGAAAGUCCUUGGAGUCCUCCGUAUGAGAGACAGAAAGACCUCAGGAGAAAAGACAAGGAAAUACAGACUGUUUCUCCAGCUACUCUGGUAAUCCAGGCUGUUACUCUGAGACUGAAAUGCUUAUAUUUAAUAUAUGUAGCUCAAAUGAAUGCUACAGUAAUCCAAGUGGUUGCUAUGCAGUUGCUAGGUGGUUGAUAUGCUGUUAUUAGGUGGUUGACAUGGAGCUCUAAGUAUUCACUAUGCAGCUGAUCAGUGCUUAAAUUGUUCAGUGCUUAAAUAGUUGGUUGAUAUGAUGUUGUUAGGUGGCUGACAUGGUGCUUUAAGGAUUCAUUAUGCAGUUAGGUGGUUGUCAUGGUGCUCUGAGGAGUUACAAUGCAUUUGCUAGGUGUUUGAUAUGCUGUUGUUAGGUGGUUGACAUGAUGCUCUAAGCAGUCACUAUGUUGUUAGGUGGUUGACAUGAUGGUCUAAGGAGUUGCAAUGUAUUUGCUAGGUGGUUGAUUUGUUCUUGCUAAGUGGUUGAUAUGCUGUUGUUGGGUGGUUGAUAUGGUGAUGAGUUACUAUGUAAUUGCUUGGUGGUUAAUAUGUACUGGCCUCGUGGUUGAUUGGCUGUUCUGAACGGUUGCUAUGUAUUUGCUGGGUGGUGGAUGUGCUGUUGUUAGUGGUCGCUAUGCAGUUAGGUGGUUGAUAUGGUGCUGUGAUGUGUUCUGAACUGUUGGUAUGUAUUUGCUGGGUGGUUGAUAUGGUGUUCUGAAGUGUCACUAUGCAGCUGUUAGGUGGUUGA